GCCUCAAGUAGGCAAAUCCGCUUGAGUAGGCUGAGCUGUGAUGGCGAGGGAAAUAAAGUACCGAAGUGCCUGAUUCCACACUGCCAAGAAAAGCCUCUAGCGAGGUGAGAGGUGCCCGUACCGCAAACCGACACAGGUAGGCGAGGAGAGAAUCCUAAGGUGCGCGGGAGAACUCUCGUUAAGGAACUCGGCAAAAUGACCCCGUAACUUCGGGAGAAGGGGUGCUCCCUCGGGUGAAUAGCCCAGGGGAGCCGCAGUGAAAAGGCCCAAGCGACUGUUUAUCAAAAACACAGGUCUCUGCGAAGCCGUAAGGCGAAGUAUAGGGGCUGACACCUGCCCGGUGCUGGAAGGUUAAGGGGAGCGCUUAGCGCAAGCGAAGGUGCGAACCGAAGCCCCAGUAAACGGCGGCCGUAACUAUAACGGUCCUAAGGUAGCGAAAUUCCUUGUCGGGUAAGUUCCGACCCGCACGAAAGGUGUAACGACUUGGGCACUGUCUCAACGAGAGACCCGGUGAAAUCAUAGUACCUGUGAAGAUGCAGGUUACCCGCGACAGGACGGAAAGACCCCGUGGAGCUUUACUGCAGCCUGAUAUUGAAUGUUGGUGCGACAUGUACAGCAUAGGUGGGAGACUGAGAAGCCUGGACGCCAGUCUAGGUGGAGUCGCCGUUGGGAUACCACCCUUGUCGUACUGAGAUUCUAACCCGCACCCCUGAUCGGGGUGGGAGACAGUGUCAGGUGGGCAGUUUGACUGGGGCGGUCGCCUCCCAAAGCGUAACGGAGGCGCCCAAAGGUUCCCUCAGAAUGGUUGGAAAUCAUUCGAAGAGUGUAAAGGCAGAAGGGAGCUUGACUGCGAGACCUACAAGUCGAGCAGGGACGAAAGUCGGGCUUAGUGAUCCGGUGGUUCCGAAUGGAAGGGCCAUCGCUCAACGGAUAAAAGCUACCCCGGGGAUAACAGGCUUAUCUCCCCCAAGAGUCCACAUCGACGGGGAGGUUUGGCACCUCGAUGUCGGCUCAUCGCAUCCUGGGGCUGUAGUCGGUCCCAAGGGUUGGGCUGUUCGCCCAUUAAAGCGGUACGCGAGCUGGGUUCAGAACGUCGUGAGACAGUUCGGUCCCUAUCCGUCGCGGGCGUAGGAAAUUUGAGAGGAGCUGUCCUUAGUACGAGAGGACCGGGAUGGACGCACCGCUGGUGUACCAGUUGUUCCGCCAGGAGCACAGCUGGGUAGCUAUGUGCGGAAGGGAUAAGCGCUGAAAGCAUCUAAGCGUGAAGCCCCCCUCAAGAUGAGAUUUCCCAUCGCGUCAAGCGAGUAAGAUCCCUUGAAGAUGACAAGGUAGAUAGGUCCGAGGUGGAAGCGUGG
rnacentral:rRNA from 1 species